ACGAACGCUGGCGGCGUGCUUAACACAUGCAAGUCGAACGGAAAGGCCCUGCUUUUGUGGGGUGCUCGAGUGGCGAACGGGUGAGUAACACAUGAGUAACCUGCCCUUGACUUUGGGAUAACUUCAGGAAACUGGGGCUAAUACCGGAUAGGAGCUCCUGCUGCAUGGUGGGGGUUGGAAAGUUUCGGCGGUUGGGGCUGGAUUCGCGGCUUAUCAGCUUGCUGGUGGAGUAGUGGCUUACCAAGGCUUUGACGGGUAGCCGGCCUGAGAGGGUGACCGGCCACAUUGGGCCUGAGAUAGGCCGCAGAAGCCUACGGGAGGCAGCAGGGGGGAGUCUUGCGGAGUGGCCGGAAGCCUGAUGCAGCAACGCCGCGUGCGGGAUGACGGCUUUCGGGUUAUAAACCGAUUUCGACUGUGACGAAGAGUGCGUGACGGUAAUGGGUAAAGAAGCACCGGCUAACUACGUG
rnacentral:rRNA from 1 species